UACGAGGGGUGCAAGCGUUGCUCGGAAUUAUUGGGCGUAAAGGGUUGGUAGGUGGUCUUGUUUGUCUAAGGUGAAAUCCCAUGGCUUAACUGUGGAAGUGCCUUAGAAACGGCAAGACUAGAGUCCUAGAGGGGUUUGUGGAAUUCCCGGUGUAGCGGUGAAAUGCGUUGAUAUCAUCAGGAACACCAGAGGCGAAGGCGGCUCACUGGGUCUCUUCUGACGCUGAGGAACGAAAGCUAGGGGAGCAAACGGG
rnacentral:rRNA from 1 species